UAUAGCGAGCCCACCAGUUGUGCUGUACCAGCCAAUCAGCGCCUCUUACGGCCCAGAGCGACGCCUCGACUCAUGGCAUAAAUACCAGUCUUCCUCAGUGAGAAAGUUUUUUAAUAAAGUUUGGAAAAAUGGCUUAAAAUACAAGAUAAAACAAAUUCGAUUACCAUCCAUCCUGUCAAAGAUACUGUGCAGUUUCUUGAAUUAUAGAACUGCUUCCAUCUCACUCCAGAAUUUUGAUGGUUCCCCUUUCAAUUUGUAUAGCACAGUGCAACAAGGAAGCUGUAUUUCUCCUACAUUAUACACUAUAUACACUAACGACAUUCCCCCAACAGCUACAGGUGGAAUAAACAUUUUAUAUGAUGAUAUCACCCAGAUUACAUUACAACCAGAUAAAUCUAGGAACAUGCUAGCCAAAAAAUAAAAAAGAUAAAAAAAAUGAACAACAUAAAUCACUAUGAAAAUAAAUGGAAAAUUAAAACCAGCACAACGAAGUUCACCAUCUUCCUCAUAGCUUAAAGUCACCACACCAGUCACUGUUGCAGAUGAACAGAUUCCUUACACCGAUAAAGCCAACAUAUUAUGUCUAAAACUUGGAAGGUAUGGUUACAAAAAACACACAAAAGACGUAUCUCAAAAAGCCCCCUUAGGACUGAAUAUUAUUAACAGAUUUGAAAAACGACAUUAACACCAAAUUUUAUUUCGUGAAAGCAUGUGUUCUGCCAAUCCUAACAUAUCCAGCCUACACUCUUAACGCUCUUUCGAAUUCACAAAUUCUCUCAUUACAACGAAUACAAAAUAAAGCAUUCAGAUUUCCACAAUGCGGAAAAUAUCCAUAUACUAAAAACACAGCAGGAUUGCAUUAUCUAUCAAAAGUAGAACUGAUCAAUAUCAUUCUAUGUAAUAGGGGAAAUAAGGUGAAACAACAAUUAAAAACUAUCCUCAAGGACACUACAUAUAUAAACUCAGUGUAAGAUCACUGUAAGGGUGUGUGCACAGAGAAAGCAGGUUUGCCAGCGCGGGCAACCGGCGCCGACCCGCGCCAAGAAUUAAACCAUAUAAACAAGUGUAGGCGUGCACAGAGGAAGCAGGUUCGAGCGUGUCGGCGCCGGCAGCCUGCUUCAACCCGCUUUCCUGUUUGCUCCGAUCAUUCUUGCCUGCUCAACCCGCGCGGGUGGACGCUACUGAGUGGAGAGAAGGAUGGAUGUUGAGCUCCUGAUAGCCAAGGUGUAUGAGAGACAGCCAGUAUGGAAUAAAUGGAAUAAGCACCACGCUAACAGGAAUGUUGUGGAUAGGCUGUGGGCUGAAAUCAGCCAGGAGUUGAACUGUGAAGAGACACUGGUAAGGAAAAAAUGGAAAUAUCUUAGAGACCAAUUUGCUGUUGAGCUCGGGAAAAUUCCACCAGCUCGAUCAGGUGAUGCCGCAGGUGACACUCCCACAUCAAAUUGGCAGUAUUUCAAAUUACUGCAUUUCCUGAAAGACGUCGUGAAAGCAAGAGCUUCAACUGGAAAUUUAUCAGGUGUGCUAACCAAUGAUACUGUUGAAACCUCAUUACCAGAAUCACCUCAAAUAGAAUACCAAAUGGGUACCAUGGAGCCCCCCUUGGCUACAGAGGAAGGCGUAUCCCACACUAAAGACGCUCUUGAACGCGAAGAUGAAGUUAUGGAAAAGCAAUGGCUCAUUUCACCCGCCACCCGUCCGAAGAAAAAGGGAGCUAACAAACGCUCUAAAACAGAUGACUUCAACCAGAGCAUCCUGGAUAUUGAACAACAAAAAAUUCAGUACUUGAAAGAAAAAUAAAUCGCAAGCAAGACAAAGAAGAUGACGAGGAUCUGAUGUUCUUCAAAAGUUUGUUACCUCAUGUCAAAAGAAUUCCUGCUGUGCAGAAGCUGACAUUUAGAAGCCGCCUACAAGAACUUGUACAACAAUUUGCAUAUCCAGUGCCUGCCAUAUCUCCCCUUCCAUAUACCCAUGAUUCCUCUUCCUCAGCUUCUGCUUAUACCCCACAGGUGUCUCCUCACUCAUAUGCCCACUCUCCUAUAGAGUCUCAAGUUCAUACCACAGAUAUGACUUUACAACCUAUGUAGUACACUAACAUUCUUACUAUCACAUAUAUGUCUGUACUAGGAGAAAUGCUUAUUUUAUGUAAUUGUUUUGUUAUUAGGAUUUAUGAUAUAUGUAUCUUUACUUUGUUCAGUGUUGUGUUUAUCAGUACCAUACGAUAUAAACUGUAAAAUUCAAAUAAAAGUUAUUUGUUCCCUA